rnacentral:rRNA from 1 species
GUAGGGGGCAAGCGUUGUCCGGAUUUAUUGGGCGUAAAGAGCGUGUAGGCGGUUUGGUAGGUCCGUUGUGAAAACUCGAGGCUCAACCUCGAGACGCCGAUGGAAACCAUCAGACUAGAGUCCGGAAGAGGAGAGUGGAAUUCCUGGUGUAGCGGUGAAAUGCGCAGAUAUCAGGAAGAACACCCGUGGCUAAGGCGGCUCUCUAGUACGGUACUGACGCUGAGACGCGAAAGCGUGGGGAGCGAACAGGAUUAGAUACCCUGGUAGUCCACGCCGUAAACGAUGGGUGCUAGGUGUAGGGGGUGUCGACUCCCUCUGUGCCGAAGCUAACGCAUUAAGCACCCCGCCUGGGGAGUACGGCCKCAAGGCU